GACGAACGCUGGCGGCGUGCUUAACACAUGCAAGUCGAGGGCACUUUGGGGGCAACCCUGGAGUGACCGGCGAACGGGUGCGUAACACGUGAGCGACCUUGCCUCGUGGUGGGGGAUAGCCGGCCCAACGGCCGGGUAAUACCGCAUAUGGUGCUGACUCCGCAUGGAGACGGCAGCAAAGCCCUGGAGCAAUCCAGUGGCGCCACAGGGGGGCGUCGCGGCCUAUCAGCAGUUGGGGGGUAAGUGGCCCACCAAGGCGACGACGGGUAGCUGGUCUGAGAGGAUGGCCAGCCACAUUGGGACUGAGAGACGGCCCAGACUCCUACGGGAGGCAGCAGUGGGGAAUCUUGCGCAAUGGCCGAAAGCCUGAUCCAGCCAUGCCGCGUGAGUGAUGAAGGCCCUAGGGUUGUAAAGCUCUUUCAACGGUGAAGAU
rnacentral:rRNA from 1 species